rnacentral:ncRNA from 1 species
GACCAUAAAGGAAAACCCCCACUAUUUUUCCUCGAACUUGGCGGAACGCAGAAAAAUAAUGGGGGCCUCACAGAAU